rnacentral:tmRNA from 1 species
GGGGCUGAUUCUGGAUUCGACGGGAUUUGCGAAACCCAAGGUGCAUGCCGAGGGGCGGUUGGCCUCGUAAAAAGCCGCAAAAAAUAGUCGCAAACGACGAAAACUACGCUUUAGCAGCUUAAUAACCUGCUUAGAGCCCUCUCUCCCUAGCCUCCGCUCUUAGGACGGGGAUCAAGAGAGGUCAAACCCAAAAGAGAUCGCGUGGAAGCCCUGCCUUGGGUUGAAGCGUUAAAACUUAAUCAGGCUAGUUUGUUAGUGGCGUGUCCGUCCGCAGCUGGCAAGCGAAUGUAAAGACUGACUAAGCAUGUAGUACCGAGGAUGUAGGAAUUUCGGACGCGGGUUCAACUCCCGCCAGCUCCACCA